CUGCAGACAGGUGAACUCCUGCAGACAGGUGAACAUCUGCAGACAGGUAAACACCUGCAGACAGGUGAGCUCCUGCAGACAGGUGAACAUCUGCAGACAGGUAAACACCUGCAGACAGGUGAGCUCCUGCAGACAGGUGUAACAGAAGACUUGUUUUGAUAUUUAAAGAGGAACCAAACUUCAGUCGGACCUUCAGCUGCUCCAUCAGCCACCUGUUGUUUUUACUCUUACUUGUAGUAGAAUAUUUUCAGUGAUGUUUAUACAUAAAAAAGGUAUUUGCAGGUAUUUGGCGCUCCAGGAUUUUAAGAUGUUUGGUUCCU